UACGUAGGGUGCGAGCGUUAAUCGGAAUUACUGGGCGUAAAGCGUGCGCAGGCGGUUUUGUAAGCCAGAUGUGAAAUCCCCGGGCUUAACCUGGGAAUGGCAUUUGGGACUGCAAGGCUUGAGUGCGGCAGAGGAGACUGGAAUUCCUGGUGUAGCAGUGAAAUGCGUAGAUAUCAGGAGGAACACCCGUGGCGAAGGCGGCUCUCUGGUACGUGACUGACGCUGAGACGCGAAAGCGUGGGGAGCAAACAGG
rnacentral:rRNA from 1 species